AAAUGAAUAGACGGGGGCCCGCACAAGCGGAGGAGCAUGUGGUUUAAUUCGAUGAUACGCGAGGAACCUUACCCGGGUUAGAACGUUGCAGGGAUUACACAGAGAUGUGUAAGCUUUUCGGAGCUUGUAACGAGGUGCUGCAUGGUUGUCGUCAGCUCGUGCCGUGAGGUGUCAGGUUAAGUCCUAUAACGAGCGCAACCCUUACGUAUAGUUACCAUCAUUAAGUUGGGGACUCUAUACGGACUGCCGGCGUAAGCUGAGAGGAAGGGGGGGAUGACGUCAAAUCAGCACGGCCCUUAUGUCCGGGGCGACACACGUGCUACAAUGGUUAUUACAGAGGGCAGCUACACAGUGAUGUGAUGCGAAUCUCGAAAGGUAAUCAUAGUUCGGAUCGGAGUCUGCAACUCGACUCCGUGAAGUUGGAUUCGCUAGUAAUCGCAGAUCAGCCAUGCUGCGGUGAAUACGUUCCCGGGCCUUGUACACACCGCCCGU
rnacentral:rRNA from 1 species